UGUUGGGUGAUGAAAAAAAUCGGACGGAUUCCCAAUGAUAACAUUAUUGUAUGAUAUUAAACCAGCUACUUCUGACUACA
rfam:Prunus persica cultivar Lovell chromosome G6, whole genome shotgun sequence.